rnacentral:tRNA from 1 species
GCGGACGUGGUGUAACUUGGUAGCCACGCAAGGUUGAGGGCCUUGUGCCCGCAAGGGCUUGAGGGUUCGAGUCCCUCCGUCCGCA